rfam:Triticum aestivum genome assembly, contig: Triticum_aestivum_CS42_TGACv1_scaffold_320587_4BL
CAAAUACUCCCUCCAUCCCAAAAUUCUUGUAUUAAAUUUGUCUAGAUACGGAUGUAUCUAAUACUAAAACGUGACUUGAUACAUCCGUAUAUAGACAAAUUUAAGACAAGAAUUUUGGGACGGAGGGAGUACAAA